GAUGAAGAACGUAGCGAAAUGCGAUAAGUAAUGUGAAUCGCAGAAUUCCGUGAAUCAUCGAAUCUUUGAACGCACAUUGCGCCCUCUGGUAUUCCGGGGGGCAUGCCUGUCCGAGCGUCAUUUGCAACCCUCAAGCCCGGCUUGUGUGAUGGGUGCCGUCCCCUACGGGACGCGCCCCGAAGGCAAUGGCGGCGUCGCGGUUAUCCGAUCAGCCAAAGUGUAUGGGGCUUUGUCACUCACUUUACGGCCCAGACCGGCGCCAGUCCGAAUCAAUCUUUUUUCUAAAGUUGACCUCGGAUCAGGUAGGGAUACCCGCUGAACUUAAGCAUAUCAAUAAGCGGAGGA
rnacentral:misc_RNA from 1 species